rnacentral:rRNA from 1 species
AUUGAACGCUGGCGGCAUGCCUUACACAUGCAAGUCGAACGGCAGCAUGGGUGCUUGCACCUGAUGGCGAGUGGCGAACGGGUGAGUAAUGCAUCGGAACGUACCCGGAAGUGGGGGAUAACGUAGCGAAAGUUACGCUAAUACCGCAUAUUCUGUGAGCAGGAAAGCGGGGGAUCGCAAGACCUCGCGCUUCCGGAGCGGCCGAUGUCGGAUUAGCUAGUUGGCGGGGUAAAGGCCCACCAAGGCAACGAUCCGUAGCGGGUCUGAGAGGAUGAUCCGCCACACUGGGACUGAGACACGGCCCAGACUCCUACGGGAGGCAGCAGUGGGGAAUUUUGGACAAUGGGGGCAACCCUGAUCCAGCCACGCCGCGUGAGUGAAGAAGGCCUUCGGGUUGUAAAGCUCUUUCGGCCGGGAAGAAAUCGCACAGGUUAAUGCCUUGUGUGGAUGACGGUACCGGAAUAAGAAGCACCGGCUAACUAUGUGCCAGCCGCCGCAGUAACAC